rnacentral:rRNA from 1 species
UCUGGGAAACUGCCUGAUGGAGGGGGAUAACUACUGGAAACGGUAGCUAAUACCGCAUAACGUCGCAAGACCAAAGAGGGGGACCUUCGGGCCUCUUGCCAUCGGAUGUGCCCAGAUGGGAUUAGCUUGUUGGUGGGGUAACGGCUCACCAAGGCGACGAUCCCUAGCUGGUCUGAGAGGAUGACCAGCCACACUGGAACUGAGACACGGUCCAGACUCCUACGGGAGGCA